rnacentral:rRNA from 1 species
UGCAGUCGAACGGAAACGAUGGGAGCUUGCUCCCAGGCGUCGAGUGGCGGACGGGUGAGUAAUACUUAGGAAUCUGCCCAUUAGUGGGGGACAACUCGGGGAAACUCGAGCUAAUACCGCAUACGCCCUACGGGGGAAAGCGGAGGACCUUUCGGGGCUUCGCGCUAAUGGAUGAGCCUAAGCCGGAUUAGCUAGUUGGUAGGGUAAAAGCCUACCAAGGCGACGAUCCGUAGCUGGUCUGAGAGGACGAUCAGCCACACUGGGACUGAGACACGGCCCAGACUCCUACGGGAGGCAGCAGUGGGGAAUAUUGCACAAUGGGCGCAAGCCUGAUGCAGCAAUGCCGCGUGUGUGAAGAAGGCCUGCGGGUUGUAAAGCACUUUCAGUAGAGAAGAAAAGCCUAGGGUUAAUACCCCUGAGUCUUGACGUUACCUACAGAAGAAGCUCCGGCUAACUCCGUGCCAGCAGCCGCGGUAAUACGGAGGGAGCGAGCGUUAAUCGGAAUUACUGGGCGUAAAGCGCGCGUAGGCGGCUUUGUAAGUCGGAUGUGAAAGCCCUGGGCUCAACCUGGGAAUUGCAUUCGAUACUGCAGAGCUAGAGUAUGGUAGAGGGAAGUGGAAUUUCCGGUGUAGCGGUGAAAUGCGUAGAUAUCGGAAGGAACACCAGUGGCGAAGGCGACUUCCUGGGCCAAUACUGACGCUGAGGUGCGAAAGCGUGGGGGAGCAAACAGGAUUAGAUACCCUGGUAGUCCACGCCGUAAACGAUGAGAACUAGAUGUUGGGGGAAUUUGUCCUUCAGUGUCGCAGCUAACGCGUUAAGUUCUCCGCCUGGGGAGUACGC